UACUCCGCUCAGGAUGAACGCUGGCGGCGUGCUUAACACAUGCAAGUCGAACGAUGAUCCGGUGCUUGCACCGGGGAUUAGUGGCGAACGGGUGAGUAACACGUGAGUAACCUGCCCUUAACUCUGGGAUAAGCCUGGGAAACUGGGUCUAAUACCGGAUAUGACUCCUCAUCGCAUGGUGGGGGGUGGAAAGCUUUAUUGUGGUUUUGGAUGGACUCGCGGCCUAUCAGCUUGUUGGUGAGGUAAUGGCUCACCAAGGCGACGACGGGUAGCCGGCCUGAGAGGGUGACCGGCCACACUGGGACUGAGACACGGCCCAGACUCCUACGGGAGGCAGCAGUGGGGAAUAUUGCACAAUGGGCGCAAGCCUGAUGCAGCGACGCCGCGUGAGGGAUGACGGCCUUCGGGUUGUAAACCUCUUUCAGUAGGGAAGAAGCGAAAGUGACGGUACCUGCAGAAGAAGCGCCGGCUAACUACGUGCCAGCAGCCGCGGUAAUACGUAGGGCGCAAGCGUUAUCCGGAAUUAUUGGGCGUAAAGAGCUCGUAGGCGGUUUGUCGCGUCUGCCGUGAAAGUCCGGGGCUCAACUCCGGAUCUGCGGUGGGUACGGGCAGACUAGAGUGAUGUAGGGGAGACUGGAAUUCCUGGUGUAGCGGUGAAAUGCGCAGAUAUCAGGAGGAACACCGAUGGCGAAGGCAGGUCUCUGGGCAUUAACUGACGCUGAGGAGCGAAAGCAUGGGGAGCGAACAGGAUUAGAUACCCUGGUAGUCCAUGCCGUAAACGUUGGGCACUAGGUGUGGGGGACAUUCCACGUUUUCCGCGCCGUAGCUAACGCAUUAAGUGCCCCGC
rnacentral:rRNA from 1 species